UUGAAGGAGGAAGUGCUAGGCUGAGGUUCCAGGAAUGACACUGUGGGGGAUUGGAAUUGGUCACCCCAAGAUAUGUCUCUUUGGAUUAUUUUGGGCUGGUUACUUUUAAAAACUGCAGACAUGAGAGAAACUCUGAAAAGUAGAAGUUACCCUUUGUAAGAGACAUUUACAUUUGUAAGGGAAAUCUCCAUCUGUAAAGGUGUCUCCCUCUCUGCACCAGGAAGAAGGAGGGAUGACUUAUCUCUAGAAACUCUUAUCAGUGCGGAAGGCAAGGACUUAAGUCUGCAUAGUAACCUUACUCUUGUUUACUGUGCUUUUCUGGUAAUCUCCCAUAACUGACUCUCCCCACCCCCAACAUCCUCCUUUGUCUGCAGCUGAAGAUGGUAAUUAAGAUGAGAGCCUCUGCCAUUUUGGUGAGUUCCUCAGUUUUCCUGGGUCUCUCUCAUGUAUACAUGUUCUAAAACUUUGUUUGAUUUUCUCCUGUGAUUCUGUCUCAAUGUCCAUUUAAUUUGUAGCCCAGCCAGAAGGACCUACAGCGAGUAGAGGAAAUGUCUUCCUCCUCCAACAACACCCUCCUCAGAAUAACACUGAAGAACUGGGCCGCCAACAAGGCAGUGACCGCUGCUAUGAUCAAGAAACUAGGGUAUCAGGAAGCCACUGUCCCACCUGUUGGCUCUGAGACCAAAGUGCCUCGGAUGUCGCCUAUGCUGGUAAAAUGAUGCAUCUUGAUAAGCAGAUUACACUCCACAGUGCGUGUGGGCCCCAUUCAACCAGGUGAAGGCCUGAAUACAACAAAGACUGACCUCCUUUGGGCAAGAAGGGGUUCUGGCAGCUGACUGCCUUGGGACUAUUCCGAGUCUCCAGCCUGCUGGCCUACCUCAUCUGAUUUUGGAUUCGCCAAGCUUCCAUGAUCACUGUGAGCCAGCUCCUCAAAAUAAAUCUCUCACUCUAUGUAUACAUAUCCUGUUGGUUCUAUUUCUCUGGACAACCCUAACUAAUACGGAUGCUUUUGUCAGUUUUUCAGAGGUCUCCAGAGAAUCUUCACCGUGCACCAUUUUGACCCCUCAAGAUGGUCCCCAAGUCUUACGUCAGGGAUCCAACUUCUAGUCUCUCUCUGGUGAGGUCCCUUUUCUCACCAAACAGCCCUGGUAGGAGAGGUUCUGUCAAGACAACCCCCCAACCCUCCAAGGCGUGUAACUAGCCCACAGAGAUAUCAACUCUGAUAUCAGUUUCCCCACAUUAAACCCAGCAUAUAUGGGGUUAAAACUAAAACACUCAUUCCCUGCUUACUCUCUGGCUUCCUGGCUCCAGAAUCCACUAUCCUCCAUGGAGACAGACACUGUCAAGGACAAGCACCCGGACUAUCUCCUCCCACAAAGAGAUAUGGGCUGGUGGGAAAGCUGCUGACCAGGAAGGUCAUGAGCUCCCUCUUGUCUGCAAGUGUCUCAAGGCCAAAGACAGGCUGGUGGGAAAGCUCCGACCAGCAAGGCCAUAUGCUCCCCCUCCCCUACCUAAAACCCCAAAUAAAAACCCUUCCUUUUAGCUUUUCGGGGAGUUUGGGAUUUUUUCAGCG
ensembl:lncRNA